ensembl:lncRNA
GCCCUGGUCAACAGUACUGCCCUAUAAAGGCCCUGGUCAACAGUACUGCACUAUAAAGGCCCUGGUCAACAGUACUGCACUAUAAAGGCCCUGGUCAACAGUACUGCCCUAUAAAGGCCCUGGUCAACAGUACUGCCCUAUAAAGGCCCUGGUCAACAGUACUGCCCUAUAAAGGCCCUGGUCAACAGUACUGCACUACAAAGGCCCUGGUCAACAGUACUGCACUAUAAAGGCCCUGGUCAACAGUACUGCACUAUAAUGGCCCUGGUUAACAGUACUGCACUACAAAGGCCAGGGAAUAGGGCGUCAUUUCAACUCUCUGCUAUUCCAAAUAAAGCCAAUAACAACUUAUAAAGGCUUUAUAGAGCCGUCAUAAACACUACAUACAGUGUGUUGUAUUUGGAUUAUGCUUAAUGAUACUCACAGGUCAACACAGGACUUGGCUCUGACACUGCCCUUGUAGUGGCAAAUCGGUUCAAAAAUGACACAUCCAAGAACUUUAUGAAAAUCAAUGUAGACUUUUAAUACAACAGUAUCAUAAGCCGGAGCGGUCCGCGAAACACACACUUUUUUCAGAGCCCUCGCUCUGAGUUAUACACCUACCAUAUAAGUCCCUCCCAUAUGCAAAUUAAGUUCCAUCCCAAUCCGUGCUUCCUGCUUGUUCAGCCCAGUAACGCCCACAUCUGCUUUCAGUCAGAUUAAAAAUGAUUACAAGACCCUUCUUUUGACCUAAAGAUAAUAUACAUCCCCCUUUCCUGUGACUAGCUGUUCUGGUCGCCUUCUCUUCAUAUGUUUGUAUAAGAUUAAACAGACUUGUGUCUCCCCUGCGAUGUAACUGAUAUCUGUAAUUCAUCUGGGGUCAUUUGGCUGACUCCCUCCUUGAUAUAUCACUCUGACCUUUGUAUGUCCAGUCAUUUCUAGGCGUCUAUGUGUCUGCAUUCCUUUAGUGUUCCCGGCUGUUCCAUACUCCCAUGGUCUUUCUCGGCUUUCUGCCCUAUUCAAUAGAAAAUGCACUUUACCAGAACAGGAAUGAACCCAUAAAUGUACAUUUUCUCUUUUGUUAUCAAAUCAUGUAUAUAAUUCUCCCACAUAACCUCCCUCUGGUGCUUUAAUAAGCACCAAAAAACUUAAAAGGACAUAUCCGGAACAUAAUAUCAACAGUUGAUUAACAAAAAUCAAGCUUCCUAAUUAACUUAGACCAAACAUCUCUAGUAUUUCAUAAGAGUAAAAGAUCUAGUUAGAAGCAAACAAUAAAAUAAAUACAUAACAUUCUGUUGAAGCAUGAGUAUGUAGGUACAAAGUCAAAUUGACACAACAUCAUUCUACAUUUAGGCUUUCAACAUGAUCCUCCCUCUCAAACACCUCUCCAACAAACAUGAUACCAACCUCUGUUAAAAGAUUAAGGACAUGGUCCAUAGACACUUAUAACCGGGAUAUCCCACUGUUACCUUCAUGUUUUUGGCAAAACUAACUUUUAAUUAAAAGAAAACCCAGAUAUAUUCAUCGAUAUACCUAUAAAAACAUUCAACAAAACAUACAAAAACACAAGACCAAAAGCAAAAAUAGAAAUACAUAGUACCCCUGUAUUUACUAUGGAAAAUACCCUUUUUGUGGAUACGUAUCAGUUGACUUUGGAAUGUCAGCAUCUACAUGUAAACCAUCCUCAUGAAAACCCUGGCAAGUGUAACCACCUCCAGAGACCACUCCAUACAGGCAGUUUGGAUUACCAAAAGGGCAGUCAGGGGGUCCACCAACCACAUUGCAUAACUGUCCAUUCCCAUCAGUAUAGUGGCCUGGCCUACCCGGCACAGAAUCAACUAUCACCGGAGUGUCAGCUCUACUUACAAACAUCUGUUUAACCGUUGUCUGGAUCACAAGUGAUUUCACCCAGGGUAAAACACAACAAAAUACAAUACCCAGAGCCAAUAUCCCCCCUCCCAGCAUAAAGGUCAUCCUAGCAAACAUGGCUCCCCAUUUCCCCAAUGCUAAGUCUAACCAAUCCCAAACAUGAGAGUCAACCCCAGCAUUUGCCUUAACCUCUACUCGUAACCCUUUAAGUUUAGCCAUAGCGAUUGCAAAGGAUCCAUCUGGCAGUACAUUCAACAGUUUGUUAUUUCCACACAUCCAGAACUAUCCUCAAGACCUCUGUCUUGAUUGUUUAGCAUAAUAAGAGAUGGCGCAACCUGAGUUAUUUUACCACACAACCCUUUUCUAUUCCUCACCAACCCUUUAUCUUUAUUUCUACGAACCCCUGCAGUCUCUAGUACCCAAAUAGUAUCACAUUCUACAGUGGUGUUUCCUACAUCAAUACCUUCGGUGUUAUGGCUGUUAAAACAUUCAUAUAUUCCUUUAAUCACAGUGUUUCCAUCUAACAAAGGUCCAUUUAAUUCAGUUCAAAUGUUAUAGACAGCACAAUCCUUGUCACCCAACCCAAUGUUGUUCAACACAGUCCUGCCUCUAGUGCUCCCAUGGGCAAUCCUACAUUCUAUGUCACACAAAGGAAUGUAGUAUUUUCUCUGAAUAUUGAACAUUUUACAUUUAACACAUUUCUUCAAACGAUGCAGGUUCAGGUACAUUCGUUUUUCACCCUUCUUCCUGUGUGGUGUCUUUGAACGAUUCUGAGUCUGAUACAUCUAUAUCUGUCAUCUUGGCAAUGUUCUUGUCAUGAGAUAGAUCAUUUGAGUUUGAAAAAGAAUUCCAAAUCUCAUUAAAGAAUCCUUUUGGCUCUGAUGUGUCAGGUGUCUUUGUGAUUGCCGUGGUCUGCUUGGUAAGAGCAGUUGGUGUCAUCUCAGUGGUAGUUGGUCGUUUCAGCAGCCGCCACCAUUGUUGUCAUUACUUUGGUUGUCACCAGCAGUUUUUGUUCAGGUGCUUGCAUAGGACCCAAUUUAACAUAUUCGUAACUGUUUCCUUCACUCAGUCCUGUUCUUGUUAUUUCAAUUUCAAAUUCUUCACCUUCUGCUGGUGUCAUCUUGUUCAUGAUAAACUCCCAGCCUUCCACACGUUUGGUUAGUGUCAGGUCACAUCCUUUGAGGUCCCAAACAGCUUCUCCCUUUGUUAUAUGACGCGUCCAUCCACAGAGUGGCUCCUCCGGUACAGGUUUCUUCUUCCAUACAGAAACUGUCCUCUGUUCCCCUGGUUCUGUUGGAAGUUGUGGCGGAACAUGAAACUUAAACCUAUCAACAGGUCCUGUCUUUUUACCUCGUUCGACAGGCUCCUCUCUUCUCUUCAUGCUUUUAUCCUUUAUCUUGAUGGUGAGUGCGUGCAUCAUCUUCGUAUUGUCCUCAGUCGCUCUUACUCUGUCAUUGUCACUGUUCUUUCGUGGUCCUAAUUCCAAUGGUUCAUUAUGGAGAUCAGGUAAGAGCUGAAAAAUCUAUUUUUGGGGAAAUUGCCAUUUUCUUCAGCUCACUCGACUUUUCCUUCUCGUUAGUGGGGUCUCUCCUUCUUUCCUCCCCUGAAGCUCCCUCCUCAGGCCGGACUGGGCUUCCAUUUGGAAGGUGUCCAUUUCAGGGAAGAGAUGUUCCCAUUCUUUAGGCAAUACCUCGGAGCCCCUCUGUAGAGUGCUUCUGUCAAAGAGGCCUGCCCCAACAGGUAUAUCAUCAGGAGUGGCAGACAUGUUACCCCUCCCACUUCUGGGCUUUCUGGCCAUACUGGAGGAAACUUUGGUCGUUUGUCUCUUUUCUUUUCAGGCUCUUUUCUUUUCAGGCUCUUUUCCCCUGGUGCUUCUUCUGAGUGUGUUAGCUGAUGCACUCGUUGUAUCUGGUCUGCCAUUUUCUUGAGUCCUCCCGGGGCUUUGAUCGAUUCCUCUGCUCCUGCUCCCUCUGGGGUCCCCUCUGGUGAAUCAGCAUCCUCUGUGUCCUCAUCUCUGUAUGGUUGUGUCCUUCUCUCCGUCGGGACUCGGGUGCAGUGGUUUAGAUGAUACCACGUCUUGCUUCCUUUCACUUGGACGGCCGUGAUUGUGGCCGUUGCCACCUCGUAGGGUCCUUCUCUCCUCGGCUGAUCCCACUUCCUUCGGAACACUCGACCGUAGACUGGAUCUCCUGGUAUCACUGGGAGAGGUCCUUCUGGUCUCCUUGGAUCAUCAGAUGUGGAACCUCUCGUCCUGGUUCAGGUUUCUGCCUUCUUUCUGUGGGGCAUUCAUACUUAAAGACUUAUGGCCUCUGUUCUACGAUUACACCAUACAUUCUCUUACUUCCAUCACUCAUCACACAAACUGACAUUCCAGCUGAAGCUGGCGAACCCUUCUCCAUCUGGUUUCCUAAACAAAAGACUUGUAAAACAAAAGACACAACAUAACAGUAUUGACAAUGUUAUGUGUUAUGCAUGACUGUAUUCAUAAAUACUGAAAUCUAAGACCAUGACAAUUCCCACUCUCUCUUCACCCGACUCUAUGCUUUCAGGAUGUGUUUCUGCUGGACUCUACAAAAAUGGAGGCCCUAAUUAGCUUCCUCAUGCUUUUAUCCAGUCUUCCCCUUUCGGCCACAGGUUCUGAGAGGUGUUCCCAAAUCAUGUCAUUUUUUUUAAACUUAGUUCCCUAUUUGCUCUAUAUCAACUGAUAAGCAUGUGCAUAACCUUAAUCAACAUUAUUUCUUCUUGAAGUAAUUCAACACUGAAUGGGCUUCCACAUCGAGCCUUCAACAUGUGGUUUAGGUCCAACUACCCUAAUAUCUAUCCUUAUUCACAUGAUACAUUAUCAAAUAAACCAAAUAACCCCCAAACUCAACCCAGUAUGUCUACAGUAGAAUCUAGUCUCUCUCUCUCUCUCUCUUUUUUGUUUUGUUUCACGUCCUCUGUCAUGGUGUUUUCAAGCUCACCCAUUAUUCAGCUGGGCCUUACUUCUUGUGAAACUUAUGCACCCAUCAAAGAGAGACAUGACGAUCUUUA